rnacentral:rRNA from 1 species
CCAUGCAUGUCUAAGUACAUGCCGAAACAAGGCGAAACCGCGAAUGGCUCAUUAAAUCAGUUAUGGUUCCUUAGAUCGUUUCUUCCUACUUGGAUAACUGUGGCAAUUCUAGAGCUAAUACAUGCAGUGAGCCCGAAGCCCUCCGGGGCGACGGGUGCUUUUAUUAGACCAAGAUCAAUCGGACUUCGGUCCGUUUUGUGUGGUGACUCUGGAUAACUUUGUGCUGAUCGCACGGCCACGAGCCGGCGACGUUUCUUUCAAGUGUCUGCCUUAUCAACUGUCGAUGGUAGGUUAUGCGCCUACCAUGGUUGUUACGGGUAACGGAGAAUCAGGGUUCGAUUCCGGAGAGGGAGCCUGAGAAACGGCUACCACAUCCAAGGAAGGCAGCAGGCGCGCAAAUUACCCACUCCCGGCACGGGGAGGUAGUGACGAAAAAUAACAAUACGGGACUCUUUUGAGGCCCCGUAAUUGAAAUGAGUACACUCUAAAUCCUUUAACGAGGACCCAUUGGAGGGCAAGUCUGGUGCCAGCAGCCGCGGUAAUUCCAGCUCCAAUAGCGUAUACUAAAGUUGCUGCGGUUAAAAAGCUCGUAGUUGGAUCUCAGUUGCAGGCGGGAAGUGCGUGGACACCACGUUACGGCCCGUACUGAACAUCAUGCCUGUCGUGGCUUGGUUCCCUUCAUCAGGUGCCUUGACUUGACCGGCGCGUUUACUUUGAAAAAAUUAGAGUGCUCAACGCAGGCGAUUCGCCUGAAUAACAGUGCAUGGAAUAAUAGAACAAGAUCCUGUUUCUGUUCUGUUGGUUUUUGGAAUACAGGAUAAUGAUUAAGAGGGACAGACGGGGGCAUUCGUAUUGCGGCGCUAGAGGUGAAAUUCUUGGACCGUCGCAAGACGAACUACUGCGAAAGCAUUUGCCAAGAAUGUUUUCUUUGAUCAAGAACGAAAGUUAGAGGUUCGAAGGCGAUCAGAUACCGCCCUAGUUCUAACCAUAAACGAUGCCAACCAGCGAUCCGCCUGAGUUACUCAAAUGACUCGGCGGGCAGCUUCCGGGAAACCAAAGUAUUUGGGUUCCGGGGGAAGUA